rnacentral:rRNA from 1 species
GAUGAACGCUGGCGGCGUGCCUAAUACAUGCAAGUCGAGCGAACGGACGAGAAGCUUGCUUCUCUGAUGUUAGCGGCGGACGGGUGAGUAACACGUGGAUAACCUACCUAUAAGACUGGGAUAACUUCGGGAAACCGGAGCUAAUACCGGAUAAUAUUUUGAACCGCAUGGUUCAAAAGUGAAAGACGGUCUUGCUGUCACUUAUAGAUGGAUCCGCGCUGCAUUAGCUAGUUGGUAAGGUAACGGCUUACCAAGGCAACGAUGCAUAGCCGACCUGAGAGGGUGAUCGGCCACACUGGAACUGAGACACGGUCCAGACUCCUACGGGAGGCAGCAGUAGGGAAUCUUCCGCAAUGGGCGAAAGCCUGACGGAGCAACGCCGCGUGAGUGAUGAAGGUCUUCGGAUCGUAAAACUCUGUUAUUAGGGAAGAACAUAUGUGUAAGUAACUGUGCACAUCUUGACGGUACCUAAUCAGAAAGCCACGGCUAACUACGUGCCAGCAGCCGCGGUAAUACGUAGGUGGCAAGCGUUAUCCGGAAUUAUUGGGCGUAAAGCGCGCGUAGGCGGUUUUUUAAGUCUGAUGUGAAAGCCCACGGCUCAACCGUGGAGGGUCAUUGGAAACUGGAAAACUUGAGUGCAGAAGAGGAAAGUGGAAUUCCAUGUGUAGCGGUGAAAUGCGCAGAGAUAUGGAGGAACACCAGUGGCGAAGGCGACUUUCUGGUCUGUAACUGACGCUGAUGUGCGAAAGCGUGGGGAUCAAACAGGAUUAGAUACCCUGGUAGUCCACGCCGUAAACGAUGAGUGCUAAGUGUUAGGGGGUUUCCGCCCCUUAGUGCUGCAGCUAACGCAUUAAGCACUCCGCCUGGGGAGUACGACCGCAAGGUUGAAACUCAAAGGAAUUGACGGGGACCCGCACAAGCGGUGGAGCAUGUGGUUUAAUUCGAAGCAACGCGAAGAACCUUACCAAAUCUUGACAUCCUUUGACAACUCUAGAGAUAGAGCCUUCCCCUUCGGGGGACAAAGUGACAGGUGGUGCAUGGUUGUCGUCAGCUCGUGUCGUGAGAUGUUGGGUUAAGUCCCGCAACGAGCGCAACCCUUAAGCUUAGUUGCCAUCAUUAAGUUGGGCACUCUAAGUUGACUGCCGGUGACAAACCGGAGGAAGGUGGGGAUGACGUCAAAUCAUCAUGCCCCUUAUGAUUUGGGCUACACACGUGCUACAAUGGACAAUACAAAGGGCAGCGAAACCGCGAGGUCAAGCAAAUCCCAUAAAGUUGUUCUCAGUUCGGAUUGUAGUCUGCAACUCGACUACAUGAAGCUGGAAUCGCUAGUGAUCGUAGAUCAGCAUGCUACGGUGAAUACGUUCCCGGGUCU